UCAGCAUACCCAGUGCUAAAACCUGCUUCAGCAGGGGACUCUCAUGUUUCUAUUUUGGACAGCUAACCUUAAAUCAAAAUACCUGAUUCAAUUCCAUGAAUUCCCACUCUAUCUGAAAGUUUGCUAUGUUUGAUCACUCUCUAUGCAGAAUUUCAUACUAGAAUGCUGCAAGUUUUACACAAUUUCUUAAUAGGUCUUGAAGUCUCCAUCUCUACUCUUUCUUGGCUCGUUCCUUUUAUUAUUUAUUUCAUUCAAAGUGAAUGAAGGACUUGAAAUGUAGUUUUCAGAUAUUUUGUUGAUCCUUGUCUGCACUGAGAUUGCCAAAAGCAUGAAGAAUAUAGAUUACUGCUGAAAUCUAUAUAGUGGAAUCUAUAUAGUGGAACACACCGAAAAUGUUGGACCCAUGAAUAAGGCAUCCUCAUCACUACAGUUCAUCACAUGCUGAUUUAGAGCUGGGAAACUGAAGAUUGAAGAUUGAAGGUUGAAGAAAGUGAAAGAUCUAAGUCCUGAAUUUAAAGAACACUUGAGGAAGGAAUUUGUCUAGAUGUUGAGCUCUGAAUUCCGGAAAAGGUCUCUGUUCAUUGCCCGUGGGAAUCUCCUCUUUGACAUGAAUUCAGUCUAAGAAAAAACAAAAACAAACAAACAAACAAAACAUAUCAGGAUUUAUCUUUUAUUAUCUUACCAUCAAAUAUAAUACUUUAAAUCUUUAAA